GGAGGAAAUGUGUUGAGUGAGAGAGACGAAGGAGAAAAGGUUGAGAGGAAUGAAGGAGGUGAGUAAGGGUUUGAGUUUUUUUUUAAUUUUGAGAAUGAAAAUUAUUAAAAUAAGACAAAUGUUUUUGAUUUUUUUCAAUUAGGACUAGAGUAGGGAUGACAGAGAAAAUGUUGGGGUGAAAGAGAUGAAAGAGAAAGGUUGAGAGGAAUGAGAGAGCUGAUAAGGGAUUUGGGGUUUCUUUUUUUAUUUUUUUAAUUUUGAGAAUGAAAAUUAUUAAAAUACCAUUAACCUUAAAACUUAGAAUUCAUGAUAUAAGGAUAUUUUUGUCUCUAAAAUGUACUAACUGACAAACAGGCGUACGCAAGUUAGCAAACCCCGUAUAUAUAUAUAUAUAUAUAUAUAUAACUAAACCAUACAAUACAAGAAAAAGGCGCACGAUACUCCCAACCACAGCAGAUCAUUUCUUGAUUGUCUUUUGGGUGUUUCUGCUUCGUCUAUCGCUUCGCACCUCCCUUCAAAAUCUCAAAAACCACUCACUCUCUCUCUCCCGAUCACGCUGAGAGAACCAAACCAAACCGAACUCCUCCGCCGUCUCUCUCUCUCUCCGUCGUCUCGUCCGGCCACGGCGCCCUCCCACCGAAGCAGCUCCUCAAUCGCCGCAAUCAAUCCCUAACCGACACAAACUUCCCUCUUUAGCUCCUCUUUCAACCUCUGCCGGAAUCCGUCAGUUUGGUUAGUAUGCAAGAUGUAUUUGACACAAGCCCUGCAAUAUGGUGCAUUGUUCAAGCUCUUUUGUUUAUGGUUUCACGCGCAGAUUCUUUGGCAAACUGUGUUCUAAAACUGNNNNNN
rnacentral:lncRNA from 1 species